UACGUAGGGGGCAAGCGUUGUCCGGAAUCAUUGGGCGUAAAGAGCGCGCAGGCGGUCGUUCAAGUCGCGUGUGAAAGCCCCCCCGGCUCAACUGGGGAGGGGUCACGCGAUACUGAUCGACUCGAAGGCAGGAGAGGGUAGUGGAAUUCCCGGUGUAGUGGUGAAAUGCGCAGAUAUCAGGAGGAACACCGGUGGCGAAGGCGGGUCUCUGGGCCGAUACUGACGCUGAGGAGCGAAAGCGUGGGGGAGCGAACAGG
rnacentral:rRNA from 1 species